UACAGAGGGGGCAAGCGUUAUUCGGAAUUAUUGGGCGUAAAGGGCGCGUAGGCGGCUUCGCAAGUGGAAGGUGAAAUCCCUCGGCUUAACCGAGGAACUGCCUCCCAAACUGCUUGGCUUGAGACCAGGAGAGGUGAGUGGAAUUCCCAGUGUAGCGGUGAAAUGCGUAGAUAUUGGGAGGAACACCAGUGGCGAAGGCGGCUCACUGGACUGGUACUGACGCUGAGGCGCGAAAGCGUGGGGAGCAAACGGG
rnacentral:rRNA from 1 species